rnacentral:tRNA from 1 species
GCUUUCGUGGUGUAGUUGGUCAUCACAUCUGCCUUACAAGCAGAAGUUCUGUUCGAUCCCGAACGAAAGCA